UUUUCAACCCAGGCCAUUCUAUGAUUCUAUGGCACGAUUCUACCAUCAGUGCUGUGCUUCAUAUUGAAAUACUACAAUACAAGCAAGAAUACCGUUGUAUAAAACAUAUUUAAUGAUCACUUUAGGAAAAUAUUUCCAUCUGAAAAACAAUUAUACAUAAAAAUGAAAGAAAAAAUAGAUUUGUAGCAAAACAUUCUUACAGUAAAGCACACCAACAUUUUGGGCAUAAACCCAUCCCUUAUGAUGAGUUUUGAUUUUAGUCUGAACCUUUACUUUUGUGAUCACCAUUAUAGGCAAAGGAAUAGGCAAAGCUCAGCUAUCAGCCCACAGCCCAUCAGCUUUUGGAGCACAAUGACGAAACAAACAAGAUGCCUUCUAGAUCUUCUGCCUUGGAAGCAAUUGGGUAACCAUCAGAUAAGAUGCAAUACCAUGAAGACAGAAAGCAGUGCACAGGAGCUGUCUGAAGCACAUGCAUCAGUGAUUCGGCCAUAGCAAAAGUGCUCAGCAGACAGAUGAUACCACUAACUUCCAGUGAGCUACGUGGGUGCAAAUGAAGGAAUUCUUGAAGUCAGACACACAACUGACAGCCUCAACCCGAAUUUCUCUCUCUGCACCCAACUUCUUUAUCUUUCUGUCUUAACUGCACGCUACACAAGAACUUAUAUGACUGGCAAGUACUGAUAAUUUCUGAAGCUCUCAAAACUACUGCUUUUACCACAGAACAGCAGGAUUUGUGUAGACAAGUUAAUUUUUUCCAUCUCUGUCAGUGCACUGCCAAAUCAUCACAGAUAGCAGCUGAAAAAGUAUCACAAAACCCAGAAAAGGGAGCAACUGGAAUGCAUGACAGCAUAUGCUGCCAGCCACCAGCUGGAUCUCACUAUGACCUUUACAGUCUUUGACGUUAACACUGAUAUGACCACGGAAAUUAUAUAUUUGCUAGGAUUAGUUUUAAACUAAGUAAUUUUCCUCAUUCAGUAGACCACUUUCAUGACCUAGAAGUAUGUGGGGGAACCUAAACCAUACCACAUGGAUGGCUCACUGGAAACUACAGAGGAAGACUUCUGAUCUCAGUGCUCAGUAGAGAUCACUGAGGCUAGGUGGAGAGACACCAGCUUCCCUCUUUUGACGGGGUCACCCCAACAUCUACCUCCCAGAAUGACUUAACUCUUCCAGAAAGUCUACUAAUAAAUAUUCACAUGAUCAAUCUA